UACGGAGGGUGCAAGCGUUAUCCGGAUUCACUGGGUUUAAAGGGUGCGUAGGAGGGCAGGUAAGUCAGUGGUGAAAUCCCCGAGCUUAACUUGGGAACUGCCGUUGAUACUAUCUGUCUUGAAUGUUGUGGAGGUGAGCGGAAUAUGUCAUGUAGCGGUGAAAUGCUUAGAUAUGACAUAGAACACCAAUUGCGAAGGCAGCUCGCUACACAAUUAUUGACUCUGAGGCACGAAAGCGUGGGGAGCAAACGGG
rnacentral:rRNA from 1 species